UCUGCAGUUCUCUGCGCUGAGAUGCGCUGGUGUCGGGACCCUCCGGGUAAUUCACCUGUGUGCUCUCAUUGUUUGUCUUCAGCGUCCACCAGGUGGCGCUGACACCAACUCGGGCUGUGACUGGGUCCGACGUGGACAACGCCAACUCGUGAAGACCUCCUUCGUCAAGGUCCGACUUGAUGAAACAGUGUCGUGGCGGAAACGUGGCGUCGUCAUCGACUUUGUGCCGAGAGAGGACUACGAGCACAGCAUCCUGGAGGAGAAGCACCCCGACCGUCGGCAUCCUGCACCUGCCGGACAAGUUCUACAUGAACACACACAUUUUCAAUGUUGACACUUGUUAAUAAACCAAAUAAUAAUCAGCUUGACUGCUCUAUCAUUUUGUUUCUUUGUCCAGGCUUUUGCCUCGCUGCCCCAGUCCACUCGUGCCCUCAAAUUAUCUCAGACUUCGCAUGGCCUCUUUCGUGGGUGGUGAACCACAUCCAGAAGGUGCUGAAGCCACAUUUCGGGGCAGUUUGACAUCUGCACAGGGUCCAUCCACACUUCAGACAGUAUGCAAUUGUGACUUUUUCUUAUUUGAUCAAAUGUGUUCUUCUUUUGAAGGUGCUGAAGAACAUAGUCAGCUUCCUGCGCAUGCAGCAGUGUGAACACGCAAAGUCCCAGACAAACGACGCCUCAUGUCCUCUUCAUUGGUGGAGAACCACAUCCAGAAAGGUGCUGAAGCCACAUUUCGGGGCAGCCUGGGAAGUGGAGAGCAGUUUGACAUCUGCACUGGGUCCAUCCACACUUUAGACACUAUGCACUUUGCAAUUGUGACUUUUUCUUAUUUGAUCAAAUGUGUUCUUCCUUUGAAGGUACUGAAGAACAUGCAGCAGUGUGAACGUGCAACAUCCCAGAAAAAACAACGCCUUGUCCUCUUCAUUGCUGGCCUGUUUCAUCUCAAACAUAAUUUGCUACCAAAUAAAAACGUCGUUUGUUUGACUCACAGAUGUCUUUUUGUGUUGCAGGGAGGUGACGACAGACUGGUCCAUGCUGGCUUUGAAGGUCCAUUCCACAACACUGAGCUGAAGGUGCUGAAGCCAAACUUCGGAGCAGCCUGGGAAGUGGCAGAGCAGUUUGACCACAUUUGCAAGAGAUCGCAACGCAAUAAAGAUUCACAGCCAUGAGGAGAUGGUUGUCAGUGUAAUCCUGGCUUUUUUCAUUUUUUGGGAGUCUAAAUGUAAUCUAUAAGACAAAAAUGGUGGAGAACCACAUCCAGAAGGUGCUGAAACCAAACUCCAGAGCAGCCUGGGAAGAAGUGGGAGAGCAGUUUAACAUCUGCACUGGGUCCAUCCACACUUUAGAUGGUACUGAAGAACAUAGUCAGCUUCCUGCGCAUCCACCACUGUGAACGCGCAAAGUCCCAGACAAACAACGCCUCAUGUCCUCUUCAUUGGUGGAGAACCAGAAGAUUCUGAAGCCACAUUUCGGGGCAGUUUGACAUCUGCACUGGGUCCAUCCACCCUUUAGACAGUAUGCACUUUGCAAUUGUGACUUUUUCUUAUUUGAUCAAACGUGUUCUUUUGAAAGGUACUGAAGAACAUAGUCAGCUUCCUGCGCAUGCAGCAGUGUGAACACGCAAAGUCCCAGACAAACAACACCUCAUGUCCUCUUCAUUGCUGGUGGUAAACCAGAUCCAGAAGGUGCUGAAGCCACAUUUCGGGGCAGCCUGGGAAGUGGAGAGCAGUUUGACAUCUGCACUGGGUCCAUCCACACUUUAGACGGUGCUGAAGAACAUGCAGCAGUGUGAACGCGCAGUCCCAGACAACGCCUCAUGUCCUCUUCAUUGGGAGGUGUGACGACAGGCAGGUCCACGCUGCCGUUGAAGGUCCAUUCCACAACACAGAGCUGGUUGUCGGUCUUCCUGGCUUUUUUUUUGUUGGGGGGAGGAGGGGGCGUCAAAAUGUAAUCUGUAAGACAAAUGGUAAUUACAAAAAAAUGUUUGGCUCAAAACUGUUCUUGAUCAAGCUCUUUUCUUACGCUGCAUGUUGCUCCUUCCUCAGGUGCCCAACCACAUCCAGAAGGUGCUGAAGCCAAACUUCGGAACAGCCUGGGAAGAAGUGGGAGAGCAGUUUGACCACAUUUGCACUGGGUGCUGAAGAACAUGGUCAGCUUCCUGUGUAUGCAGCAGUGUUAAUGCACCAACACCUCGCAUGUCCUCUUUAUCACUGGUCCGCAUCCUCUUCCCACUGGGUGAUGACUUCCACCGGCUGCGUUUUGAUCUGGCUGGCGUUAAGACUGAGCUGGACAGAGACGGGUUUCGCCAGGAGACUUUCAAGAGUUCUGUCGACCAUGGUCAGCUUCCAGACAUCGCAGCCGUGUGAGCACUUACAGAGUCCCAGAAAACAAGUCUCACAUUUUCCUCCUCACUGAUCCCCACACACUGGUCCACACACUUCUGCCACCAGCCAACAACUUCACCAUGCGGCGACGAGGAGACCGUUGAUAUCAAACUUGUGAGCGGUUUUUUCCCCCCAGUUUACUUGUUGAUGUAAUGUCUGACUUAACAUC